rnacentral:RNase_P_RNA from 1 species
UGAGUAAGUCAGGUAAUCGCGUGAAUUUCACGAGGAAAGUCCGUGCACCAUACAGCGAGGAUGCCAGAUAACGUCUGGUGAAGGCGACUUUAAGGCUAGUGCAACAGAGAGAUACCGCCUCUUAGGAGGUAAGGGUGGAAAGGUGAGGUAAGAGCUCACCAGCAAAUAGGCGACUAUUUGGCUAUGUAAACCCCAUCCGGUGCAAGAUCAAAUAGGAAAUAACCCGGCAGCUGGUCGGGUCCGGUAGGUAGAUUGCUAGAGCUUAUAGGUGACUAUAAGCGUAGACAGAUGAUUACCCAAUACAGAACACGGCUUAUAGACUUGCUCAUUAU